rnacentral:rRNA from 1 species
GACGAAGGGGGCUAGCGUUGUUCGGAAUUACUGGGCGUAAAGAGCUCGUAGGCGGCCUGUCGCGUCGGUUGUGAAAGCCCGGGGCUUAACCCCGGGUCUGCAGUCGAUACGGGCAGGCUAGAGUUCGGUAGGGGAGAUCGGAAUUCCAGGUGUAGCGGUGAAAUGCGUAGAGAUCUGGAGGAACACCGAUGGCGAAGGCAGCCUUCUGGGCCAACACUGACGCUCAUGCACGAAAGCGUGGGGAGCAAACAGG